AACAAAUAAGUUAUAAAUAUAACAAAUAAAUAUAUAAAUAACUUAUUUGUAAUUUUAUUAUUUAUAGAAACCAGACUUUGAGGUCAGGUCCCAAAACUCAUUAGCAACUUUAUAGAGAUGCCAUGGCAUGGCAACCCCCUAGCAACGUGAGUUUUCAGCAUUUUCUUUAGAAAAACAAUAUCAUCAUUAUUAAUGUAAAGGCUAUGGAUAACAAAUUAUCAUGGCAUUUUGUUCAAAGCGCUUUAAGAAUCUUUAUGUUACAUGUUACAUGUUCUUUAAAAAUAUAACUUUUACGACAGUGACGGCAACGGUGCCAAUUUUAUGGCAGAAAUGCAUCUAUGGCAGCAUAUUUUGGCACAAACUGUAGAAUAGGGUAGUGUUGCCAAGGCCGCGGUGUUCCAGCGGAAUUGUACUACUUUAACGCUCUUUCCGCGGGAUGUUUUUCAUGUCCGCGGGUUGAAGCGACCCCAGUAACGUGAUAUUUAGCCCCUGUAAUACUUUUAUCAGGGGGACUCCGGCAAAAAAAAACGUGUAUUUUACCCCACCGGAAAGCGUUUUUUUUAUUUUAUUUUUUUACCGGGAAUCCCCACUGAAAAGUGAUUGGGCUAGUUUUGAGCAGCAAUUGGGCGGGUUUUACUGAGAAAACCUGGCAACCCUGGAAUAGGAUGAACUUUAAAUGUAAACAACGCUAAAAACAGAACUUUUUCAAUUAGUUUUCCCACAAAUGUUGUUCGAUCUUCCACUUUUAUGAUAUGCGCAGGAGAAAUACAACGUUUAAUGAAAAAAAUGUUUGUUUUAGACGCGAGAAUCCCUCCACCUGCGUUCAGUCGAUGGAGUAAACACAGAUCCCGUAAGAGCAGACGUCAGUGUUUGAAGAGGAGCAGUCUGUCACUGAUGAUGAACUGACUGUAGCUAAUAUUGAACUUUCUGGGAAAUGGAUAAUCAAAGUGGAAGUGCUCCAGUGCAUUGCAGUGUCAUGCCAUCCCUUGCAGUCCACCAUCAAGUCCCAACAGGUCCCAUUGGCUCUUCAUAAAGGUGAAGUGGCUCAGUAGUUUUCGUCCAUGAUGGAUCCA